ACUGCAGAGCAUCCAUUGGUGAUCAAGUGAUACAAUGCUACAUUUCUCCAAAUCUGUUCCCAUGAAGGAACAAACUCAUGUCCAUCUUGGAUGUCCUCAGGUGAAAAAUGUCAGACUGCUCUCUGGGCCACACCCAUUUCUCAUCAUCCAAUCAACAACUGAUGUGUAAAACAAUGUCCCACCCUACUUUUUCUUUUUUUG